rnacentral:rRNA from 1 species
GAUGAACGCUGACAGAAUGCUUAACACCUGCAAGUCAACUUGAACUUCGGUUUGGGUGGCGGACGGGUGAGUAACGCGUAAAGAACUUGCCUCACAGAUAGGGACAACAUUUGGAAACGAAUGCUAAUACCUGAUAUUAUGAUUAUAUGGCAUCGUAUAAUUAUGAAAGCUAUAUGCGCUGUGAGAGAGCUUUGCGUCCCAUUAGCUAGUUGGAGAGGUAACGGCUCACCAAGGCGAUGAUGGGUAGCCGGCCUGAGAGGGUGAUCGGCCACAAGGGGACUGAGACACGGCCCUUACUCCUACGGGAGGCAGCAGUGGGGAAUAUUGGACAAUGGACCAAGAGUCUGAUCCAGCAAUUCUGUGUGCACGAUGAAGUUUUUCGGAAUGUAAAGUGCUUUCAGUUGGGAAGAAAAAAAUGACGGUACCAACAGAAGAAGAGACGGCUAAAUACGUG